GUCCCAGUAGCUUAUAGUAAAGCAUGGCACUGAAGAUGCCAAGAUGGUUGCCAUACGCAACCCACGGACA
rnacentral:tRNA from 1 species